rnacentral:rRNA from 1 species
CAGGCUUAACACAUGCAAGUCGAGGGGCAUCAGGAAGAAAGCUUGCUUUCUUUGCUGGCGACCGGCGCACGGGUGAGUAACACGUAUCCAACCUGCCCUUUACUCGGGGAUAGCCUUUCGAAAGAAAGAUUAAUACCCGAUAGCAUAAUGAUUCCGCAUGGUUUCAUUAUUAAAGGAUUCCGGUAAAGGAUGGGGAUGCGUUCCAUUAGGUUGUUGGUGAGGUAACGGCCCACCAAGCCUUCGAUGGAUAGGGGUUCUGAGAGGAAGGUCCCCCACAUUGGAACUGAGACACGGUCCAAACUCCUACGGGAGGCAGCAGUGAGGAAUAUUGGUCAAUGGGCGCUAGCCUGAACCAGCCAAGUAGCGUGAAGGAUGAAGGCUCUAUGGGUCGUAAACUUCUUUUAUAUAAGAAUAAAGUGCAGUAUGUAUACUGUUUUGUAUGUAUUAUAUGAAUAAGGAUCGGCUAACUCCGUGCCAGCAGCCGCGGUAAUACGGAGGAUCCGAGCGUUAUCCGGAUUUAUUGGGUUUAAAGGGAGCGUAGGUGGACUGGUAAGUCAGUUGUGAAAGUUUGCGGCUCAACCGUAAAAUUGCAGUUGAUACUGUCAGUCUUGAGUACAGUAGAGGUGGGCGGAAUUCGUGGUGUAGCGGUGAAAUGCUUAGAUAUCACGAAGAACUCCGAUUGCGAAGGCAGCUCACUGGACUGCAACUGACACUGAUGCUCGAAAGUGUGGGUAUCAAACAGGAUUAGAUACCCUGGUAGUCCACACAGUAAACGAUGAAUACUCGCUGUUUGCGAUAUACAGUAAGCGGCCAAGCGAAAGCAUUAAGUAUUCCACCUGGGGAGUACGCCGGCAACGGUGAAACUCAAAGGAAUUGACGGGGGCCCGCACAAGCGGAGGAACAUGUGGUUUAAUUCGAUGAUACGCGAGGAACCUUACCCGGGCUUAAAUUGCAGUGGAAUGAUGUGGAAACAUGUCAGUGAGCAAUCACCGCUGUGAAGGUGCUGCAUGGUUGUCGUCAGCUCGUGCCGUGAGGUGUCGGCUUAAGUGCCAUAACGAGCGCAACCCUUAUCUUCAGUUACUAACAGGUUAUGCUGAGGACUCUGGAGAGACUGCCGUCGUAAGAUGUGAGGAAGGUGGGGAUGACGUCAAAUCAGCACGGCCCUUACGUCCGGGGCUACACACGUGUUACAAUGGGGGGUACAGAAGGCAGCUACCUGGUGACAGGAUGCUAAUCCCAAAAGCCUCUCUCAGUUCGGAUCGAAGUCUGCAACCCGACUUCGUGAAGCUGGAUUCGCUAGUAAUCGCGCAUCAGCCACGGCGCGGUGAAUACGUUCCCGGGCCUUGUACACACCGCCCGUCAAGCCAUGGGAGCCGGGGGUACCUGAAGUACGUAACCGCAAGGAUCGUCCUAGGGUAAAACUGGUGACUGGGG